CUCUGGGAUGUUGCUGGUCAGAGUGUAGGCGAUGGAUUUCUUCAGGUUAUCAAAGAUCAGGCGACCUGGAGGCAGAAAACAGUUUUAGGCUGAUCUCUCACCUUCCUCAUGAUCAAGGAUACCCCACAAGCUUCCUCCACUCACCUUCUUCCACUCCAGUAACAAUGGAGGCAAAGUUAUCAUCCAGCAGGAUCAUGUCCGCAGCCUGCUUGGACACGUCGGACCCUGAGAUACCCAUGGCAACACCAAUAUCAGCCUUCUUCAGAGCUGGAGAGUCAUUCACACCAUCGCCAGUUACAGCUACAAUAGCCCCCUGAGACACAGAGAGAGAGAGAGAGAGAGAGAGAGAGAGAAACAGGGAGUGUUUUACAAGCACUCUCUCUCCCAGUCCUCCCAGCUCCAGGUAGGCAUUCUGAAAGGCCUCCUUCAUCUCCUCAUCCAUGGGCUGCUCCUUGCCCUGAAUCAUGAUGGUGGAGCAGCGGUCCAGGAUACGCUCAGGUGCACCCUUCAUCACCAGCAGGUAGCGGUUAUCGUUGGGGUCCUCAGUCUCAUGGAUGGACAGCUAAGCAAGAGGGAGGAGGAAGUCAAAAUCAGUCUGAUAUCAAGUAUAUAUAUAUAUAUAUAUAUACACUGCUCAAAAAAAUAAAGGGAACACUCAAAUAACACAAUAUAACUCCAAGUAAAUCAAACUUCUGUGAAAUUAAACUGUCCACUUAGGAAGCAACACUGAUUGACAAUCAAUUUCACCUGCUGUUGUGCAAAUGGAAUAGACAACAGGUGAAAAUUAUUGGCAAUUAGCAAGACACACUCAAUAAAGGAGUGGUUCUGCAGGUGGGGACCACAGACCACUUCUCAGAACCUAUGCUGUCUGGCUGAUGUUUUGGUCAGUUUUGAAUGUUGGUGGUGCUUUCACACUCGUGGUAGCAUGAGACGGACUCUACAACCCACACAAGUGGCUCAGGUAGUGCAGCUCUUUCAGGAUGGCACAUCAAUGCGAGCUGUGGCAAGAAGGUUUGCUGUGUCUGUCAGCGUAGUGUCCAGAGGCUGGAGGCGCUACCAGGAGACAGGCCAGUACACCAGGAGACGUGGAGGAGGCCGUAGGAGGGCAACAACCCAGCAGCAGGACCGCUACCUCCGCCUUUGUGCAAGAAGGAACAGGAGCACCCGCACUGUUCCCGCCCGUUCCCCAGACCUGAAUCCGAUUGAGCACAUCUGGGACAUCAUGUCUCACUCAUCCACCAACGUCACGUUGCACCACAGACUGUCCAGGAGUUGGCGGAUGCUUUAGUCCAGGUCUGGGAGGAGAUCCCUCAGGAGACCAUCCGCCACCUCAUCAGGAGCAUGCCCAGGCAUUGUAGGGAGGUCAUACAGGCACGUGGAGGCCACACAAAAUACUGAGCCUCAUUUUGACUUGUUUUAAGGACAUUACAUUAAAGUUGGAUCAGCCUGUAGUGUGUUUUUUCACUUUAAGUUUGUGUGUGGCUCCAAAUCCAGGCCUCCAUUGGUUAAUAAAUUUGAUUUCCAUUAAAUGAUUUUUGUGUGAUUUUGUUGUCAGCACAUUCAACUUUGUACAGAACAAAGUAUUCAAUGAGAAUAUUUCAUUCAUUCAGAUCUAGGAUGUGUUAUUUGAGUGUUCCCUUUAUUUUUUUGAGCAGUGUAUAUACAGCUCUGGAAAAAAAAGAGACCACUUCAGUUUCUGAAUCAGUUUCUCUGAUUUUGCUAUUUAUAGGUAAAACAAGUUCAUAUUUGGUGGAAAUAACCCAGGUUUUAAUCACAGUUCUCAUGCAACUUGGCAUGUUCUCCUCCACACCUCCUCCUCCUCUCCUACACACUGCUUUUAGACAACUUUAUGCCACUCCUGGUGCAAAAAUUCAAUCGGUUUAUGCUGUUUGAUGGCUUAUGAUCAUCCAUCUUCCUCUUGAUUAUAUUUCAGAGGUCUUCAAUUUGGUAAAAUCAAUGAACUUCAUGUUUUUUUAAGUGGUCUGAGCUGACUUUACAGAAUACAAUGGAACAAUCUGAACCUUAGGGAGAAUCUUUAUAUUUUCUUUUUUUUUCAUAUUUUACAUAAAUGUUUUGAUUUGUUUUAAUACAAAAUGGUUGUGUGUAAAAUGUGCCGUAUGAAGUAUGAAGAAUGUGACCAAUUUUAUUUUUAUUAAUUGACAGCCUUAAUGUCACCUCUGGUCUUUGCCUCAUUCUAGAUGUCAUUUAACUGAAGGAACUUCAGUGUAUUUGGGUGGAUCUACACUGUUCUAGGCUAAUAUGGAAAAUCACUGACCCUAGAUGUAGUUGAUCACUGAUCAAUUAGAUUUUCUCUGGACUGUUCCUUUAAAAACUGACCUGGUAUUUGUUGGUGGAGUUGAAAGGGAUCUCAGCUACUUUCUUGUUCCUCUCUCUCAUCUGUUUCACGGAGCCGCAGGAAAGCUCGAUGCACUUGAGCAGAGCCGAUUCGGAGGCGUCGCCGGCCACGUCCCUCUUCAGGAUAGGCAGAGAAUCUUGGCCUGCCUUGAACACCGCCCUGUUGCACAGUGACGCCACACGGGCCAGAGACACCCACGUCACGGAGGUCUUAUCGAACGAUGCGCCUGCAGAAACAAACACACAGGAGUGAUGAGGUGUUAGGUGUAAACUGAGUGGGUACAUGUUUAAGAUCUAUUAUCUUAUGUAACUCAUAUAAAUCAUACUGUAUUAUAGGUUCUGCUUCCAGUAGUGCUAACUAUAGAAGCAAUUUCAGAACAGGCUGAACACAAAGACUCAAGAUGUUCUACUGUUUUCUGCAAUAAAAAAAAACAACUUUAUUUUGGCUUAGUUUAGUUUAGCUACACCUUCUCAUUCACUGUUAUAAUUUACUGUAUUUUUCGCACUAUAAAGCGCAUCAAUAAAAGUG